rnacentral:tRNA from 1 species
UAGUUCAGUGGUAGAAUCCUUGUUUGCUUUACAAGAGACUUGGGUUCAAUUCCCAG